rnacentral:rRNA from 1 species
UACGUAGGGUGCGAGCGUUGUCCGGAAUUACUGGGCGUAAAGAGCUCGUAGGUGGUUUGUCGCGUUGUUCGUGGAAACCGGGGGCUUAACCCUCGGCGUGCGGGCGAUACGGGCAGACUUGAGUACUGCAGGGGAGACUGGAAUUCCUGGUGUAGCGGUGGAAUGCGCAGAUAUCAGGAGGAACACCGGUGGCGAAGGCGGGUCUCUGGGCCGAUACUGACGCUGAGGAGCGAAAGCGUGGGGAGCAAACAGG